rnacentral:rRNA from 1 species
AACGAACGCUGGCGGCAUGCCUAACACAUGCAAGUCGAACGAGACCUUCGGGUCUAGUGGCGCACGGGUGCGUAACGCGUGGGAACCUGCCCUUAGGUUCGGAAUAACUCCCCGAAAGGGGUGCUAAUACCGGAUAAUGUCUUCGGACCAAAGAUUUAUCGCCUUUGGAUGGGCCCGCGUUGGAUUAGCUAGUUGGUAGGGUAAAAGCCUACCAAGGCGACGAUCCAUAGCUGGUCUGAGAGGAUGAUCAGCCACACUGGGACUGAGACACGGCCCAGACUCCUACGGGAGGCAGCAGUGGGGAAUAUUGGACAAGGGGCGAGAGCCUGAUCCAGCAAUGCCGCGUGAGUGAUGAAGGCCUUAGGGUUGUAAAGCUCUUUUACCCGGGAUGAUAAUGACAGUACCGGGAGAAUAAGCUCCGGCUAACUCCGUG